GACGAACGCUGGCGGCGUGCUUAACACAUGCAAGUCGAACGGAAAGGCCCUGCUUUUGUGGGGUGCUCGAGUGGCGAACGGGUGAGUAACACGUGAGUAACCUGCCCUUGACUUUGGGAUAACUUCAGGAAACUGGGGCUAAUACCGGAUAGGAGCUCCUGCUGCAUGGUGGGGGUAGGAAAGUUUCGGCGGUUGGGGAUGGACUCGCGGCUUAUCAGCUUGUUGGGGGGGUAGUGGCUUACCAAGGCUUUGACGGGUAGCCGGCCUGAGAGGGUGACCGGCCACAUUGGGACUGAGAUACGGCCCAGACUCCUACGGGAGGCAGCAGUGGGGAAUAUUGCACAAUGGGCGGAAGCCUGAUGCAGCAACGCCGCGUGCGGGAUGACGGCCUUCGGGUUGUAAACCGCUUUCGCCUGUGACGAAGCGUGAGUGACGGUAAUGGGUAAAGAAGCACCGGCUAACUACGUG
rnacentral:rRNA from 1 species